UACGAAGGGGGCUAGCGUUGCUCGGAAUCACUGGGCGUAAAGCGCACGUAGGCGGAUCUUUAAGUCAGGGGUGAAAUCCCGGAGCUCAACUCCGGAACUGCCUUUGAUACUGAGGGUCUCGAGUCCGGGAGAGGUGAGUGGAACUGCGAGUGUAGAGGUGAAAAUUCGUAGAUAUUCGCAAGAACACCAGUGGCGAAGGCGGCUCACUGGCCCGGUACUGACGCUGAGGUGCGAAAGCGUGGGGAGCAAACAGG
rnacentral:rRNA from 1 species